UGCGUAGGGGGCAAGCGUUGUCCGGAAUCAUUGGGCGUAAAGAGCGUGUAGGCGGUCCGGUAAGUCGGCUGUGAAAGUCCAGGGCUCAACCCUGGGAUGCCGGUCGAUACUGCCGGACUAGAGUUCGGAAGAGGCGAGUGGAAUUCCCGGUGUAGCGGUGAAAUGCGCAGAUAUCGGGAGGAACACCUAUGGCGAAGGCAGCUCGCUGGGACGUUACUGACGCUGAGACGCGAAAGCGUGGGGAGCAAACAGG
rnacentral:rRNA from 1 species